rnacentral:rRNA from 1 species
UACGAAGGGGGCUAGCGUUGCUCGGAAUCACUGGGCGUAAAGGGUGCGUAGGCGGGUCUUUAAGUCAGGGGUGAAAUCCUGGAGCUCAACUCCAGAACUGCCUUUGAUACUGAAGAUCUUGAGUUCGGGAGAGGUGAGUGGAACUGCGAGUGUAGAGGUGAAAAUUCGUAGAUAUUCGCAAGAACACCAGUGGCGAAGGCGGCUCACUGGCCCGAUACUGACGCUGAGGCACGAAAGCGUGGGGAG